rnacentral:rRNA from 1 species
UACGGGGGGAGCAAGCGUUGUUCGGAUUUACUGGGCGUAAAGGGCGCGUAGGUGGUUGUGUAAGAUCGAUGUGAAAUCCCUGGGCUUAACCUAGGAACUGCAUCGAUGACUGCAUAGCUGGAGUACUGUAGAGGGUAGUAGAAUUUCCGGUGUAGCGGUGAAAUGCGUAGAGAUCGGGAGGAACAUCUGUGGCGAAGGCGGCCACCUGGACCAGCACUGACACUGAGGCACGAAAGCGUGGGGAGCAAACAGG